rnacentral:lncRNA from 1 species
CAGUUUAACGUACUGAGAAAGAAUAUGUCUUAAGUUUUCAGUUUCGACUCCGUUUGGUCAUCGAAAACUGUGCCGAACUGCAAUCUUUAUCAGAUAGCUUUCGGAUUUUAUUUCUCACUCUACGGGUGUCAAAAAAAUAUGAAACUUUAAAUCUAGCCUCAUAAAAAUAUUUCUGACAUAUCUCCAAUUUUCAUAAUUUUCUGAGACUGUGCAUUUUCUGCUAAUUUUUCUGUCCCGUUUCCAACAGAAAAUUUUAGAUUUUCUGUUUUCAUCCCGAUUUCAGCACAAGUCACUUCUCACUAAUAUUCUACUUCUCUAAAUCCAAUAAAAAUAGUAUCUCACACUAUUUUUAUUUAUUUUUACUUUUAUAUUUAAAAUUCGGUAUGUUACAUUCCACCGCAGCCUCACCGGAACCAUUUAAAUGUACACCGUAACUUCAUAGUUUUAGAAGUCCAGUACCUUACAAUACCUGAUCCUGAAAUCAAAUG